rnacentral:RNase_P_RNA from 1 species
GAGGAAAGUCCGGACUCCACAGAGCACGGAUGUUGCUAACAGCAACCCAGGGCGACCUGAGGGCACGUGCAACAGAAAGUAGACCGCCUGCAGACGCAACAUCUGCAGGUAAGGGUGAAAGGGUGCGGUAAGAGCGCACCAGCACUGCAGGUGACUGUGGUGGCUAGGUAAACCCUUCCGGGAGCAAGGCAUGAUGGCGCACCGCUGCUUUGGUGCGCCGGCGCGGGCGUUUGAGGGCUGCUCGUCCAAGUCCGCGGGUAAGCCGCGUGAGGCUGCUAGCGAUGGCAGCCCGAGAUAGAUGAUUACCUCCCAUGCCAGGGGAGACCCCGCAUGGCAGACAAAAUCCGGCUUA